GUGUUCACUCACCAGGUCCAUGUGUUUGAGGCUGUCCAGCAGUUUGCAGUGGGUAACCCGUGUGUACCCCAGGUGUACUAGGUGUACUGUAGGUGUACCCAGGUGUGCCCAGGUGUAUCUCAGGUGUCCCCAGGUGUGCCCAGGUGCGCUGACUCACCAGGUCCAUGUGUUUGAAGCUGUCCAGCAGUUUGCAGUGGGUAACCCGUGUGUACCCCAGGUGUACUAGGUGUACUGUAGGUGUACCCAGGUGUGCUGUAGCUGUACCCAGGUGUGCCCAGGUGUGCCCAGGUGUAUCCCACAGGUGUUC